AACGCGACCUUAUUAGUUCAGAGUCAUGCUUUUGAAAUUCCUACCGAGAAUACUAAUCACUCAAACUAUAACAGAGCAUAUGUAAAAGUUAGAUAGGAAAAACAAAGCGCUAUAAGGAAUAUUUAUUCCACGCAGCCACACCACAGGCUAACAACAGAAAACACACAAAGUAAUAGCACAGAUAAUUAACGUAGGAAUUUCUCAGUGUAUACUAUAUGAACUUUGGCUUCAAUGGAGGGUUGUGAAUCUGCCAUUGCUCCG
rnacentral:lncRNA from 1 species